rnacentral:lncRNA from 1 species
AUUCCAGGAUUCUGAGAUUAAGAGCAGGGAAAUUUUAGGGAUGUGAGUUUGUAGCCUGGCACCAGCCGUGCCAGAGCACCCAAAGGACGUCAGGAUGGUGGGAUGUGAGGAAUAUUCAGGAGCCAUUCCCUGGAAGCCUGGGUUUGCUCUCAGCCUGGUGACCUGAACAGUUCUCUGUGCCUCAGACAGGAAUAAUGGGAUGUAAAAUUGAAAACUUGGGAAAAUAAAUGUUAUCCUGCAGCAGCCACAGCCACGGGAUGCUCCGGGAGCUGUGGUGCUGGAGAGGAACUGAAGGAUUUGAAUUCAUUCCCCAGCUCAGCCAGAGGCUCCUCCUGGGAAUUUGGGUGCUUAAAUUCCCCAGCCUCAGCUCCACAUUUCCCAAAAGCAGCUCCCAGGUUCACAGAUAAGAUGAUUAAAGCAGCUUCGAGGCUUCAUCCCAUCACUCAAAGAAUUUGGAGCAAAGAUUCAUCCCUGUAACUUCCCGGAGAGAUCUGCCAAAGAAAAUCCAGCCUUGAAGGGUUCUGUUCGCUGAUGGAUGACAUUCCUGCUUCCCACCUCCUGCAACUGCAGAGCUGGAGCUGCUCAGCAAAUGUCAAAAUGGGACAAAAAAAAAAGAACAAAACAGAAGAGGAAGGAGAAGGGGGGACAAAAAUCCAAUUUCUGUCCUUAGGAAAGUUCUCAAGGAAAAAGAAAAGCCCCUUUCACAUUUUCUGCUUCUGUGCAGGGGGCAAAGUGUAGGGUGGGGGGUUUUAAAUAGGAAUUGUUUAUUCCUGUUUUGUAUCUCUGCCACCUGGGGUGUUUUUAAAAGAAUUCCCAGCAGGUCUCUCCUCUCCCUCAGCUUCCUCAGCUCCCUGGGCACCCUCAUCUCCCUCACCAUGCUCACCAGCCUCAUAUCCCUCAUCUUCCUCAUCACCCUCAUCUUCCUCAUCUCCUUCAUCUCCUUCAUCUCCCUCAUCUCCCUCAUCUUCCUCAUCUUCUUCAUCUUCUUCAUCUCCUUCAUCUCCCUCAUCACCCUCAUCUCCCUCAUCUCCUUCAUCUUCCUCAUCUCCUUCAUCUUCCUCAUCUUCUUCAUCUCCCUCAUCUUCCUCAUCUCCCUCAUCACCCUCAUCUUCCUCAUCUUCCUCAUCUCCCUCAUCUCCCUCAUCUUCCUCAUCUUCCUCAUCUCCUUCAUCUUCCUCAUCUCCUUCAUCUUCCUCAUCUUCCUCAUCUCCCUCAUCUUCUUCAUCUCCCUCAUCACCCUCAUCUUCUUCAUCUUCCUCAUCUCCCUCAUCUCCUUCAUCUUCCUCAUCUCCCUCAUCACCCUCAUCUUCCUCAUCUCCUUCAUCUUCCUCAUCUCCUUCAUCUUCCUCAUCUUCCUCAUCUCCCUCAUCUUCUUCAUCUCCUUCAUCUCCUUCAUCUCCUUCAUCUCCAUCUCCCUCAUCUUCAUCUCCUUCAUCUCCCUCCUCUCGCUCUCCUCACUCUCUCUUUUCCUCCCCAGCCCUCGAGGACGCUGUGGAGCCGAAGGAGAACCCCGGGACGGGGCAGGACCCGUCCAACCCCGGGAAUUCUCUUGGAACCUCCGUCCCUGCGGAGCCCAUCCCAGCCCCACCCUCGGAGGAGCCCAUCCCCAGCAGAGACCCUCAGGAGGCGAAGGAUCCCAGCCCCACCAGCUCCCCGCCGUGGCCAGCGGCUCCCGAGGAGCCCCCGGCGCGCCCCAACACCCUGGACUUCUCCAAAGGGACACCCGAGGCACAUCAGGAAUGGCUGAAGAGGAAAUUUCUGGAAUGUCAGGACACAGCCCCUUGGAAUGGUUUAUUCCCAUGUCCAAACAGAGAACGGGAUCAGAGUCCCAGCGAGGAGGAAAGGAUGGAUCUCUGCUUUAACACAUCCCGGGAUUUCAUUGAUCUCUCCCAGAGGGAAUCUGCAGCCUGAGCUACUGCAAAUAAACCCAUUUUUAACUCUGCUGCA